rnacentral:tRNA from 1 species
UCCCUGGCGGUCCAGUGGUUAGGACUCCACACUCUAACUGUUGAGGACCCGGGUUCAAUCCCUGGUCAAGGAA